GGCCAGACUCCUACGGGAGGCAGCAGUGAGGAAUAUUGGUCAGUGGUCGGGAGACUGAACCAGCCAAGCCGCGUGAGGGAUGAAGGUACAGAGUAUCGUAAACCUCUUUUGCCGGGGAGCAGAGGUCCGGACGUGUCCGGGCCGGGAGAGUACCCGGAGAAAAAGCAUCGGCUAACUCCGUGCCAGCAGCCGCGGUAAUACGGAGGAUGCGAGCGUUAUCCGGAUUUAUUGGGUUUAAAGGGAGCGUAGGCCGGUCUUUAAGCGUGCCGUGAAAUUUUGUGGCUCAACCAUGAGAGUGCGGCGCGAACUGGAGACCUUGAGUGCGCGGAAGGCAGGCGGAAUUCGUGGUGUAGC
rnacentral:rRNA from 1 species